UACGUAGGGUGCGAGCGUUAAUCGGAAUUACUGGGCGUAAAGCGUGCGCAGGCGGUAAGUUAAGUCUGAUGUGAAAUCCCCGGGCUCAACCUGGGAAUUGCGAUGAAGACUGCAAGGCUUGAAUCUGGCAGAGGGGGGUAGAAUUCCACGUGUAGCAGUGAAAUGCGUAGAGAUGUGGAGGAACACCGGUGGCGAAGGCGGCAUCCUGGACCGGUAUUGACGCUGAGGCGCGAAAGCUAGGGGAGCAAACGGG
rnacentral:rRNA from 1 species